rnacentral:misc_RNA from 1 species
AAGUCGUAACAAGGUUUCCGUAGGUGAACCUGCGGAAGGAUCAUUACAAAAGUUAUGGGUUAGGACUUGCCUUUCGGGGCUGAGUCCUUUCCUUACACUUUCAACCACUUGUGAACUUGUAAUAUCUAUUCACUAGUCUAUAAAAAGUCUGAUUUAACUAUUGGUGUUUAAAGACACUAGUAAUUAAAAACAACUUUUGGCAACGGAUCUCUUGGCUCUCGCAACGAUG